rnacentral:rRNA from 1 species
UACGGGGGGAGCAAGCGUUGUUCGGAUUUACUGGGCGUAAAGGGCGCGUAGGCGGUCAGCACAAGUCAAUUGUGAAAUCUCCGGGCUUAACUCGGAAAGGUCAACUGAUACUGUGCGACUAGAGUGCGGAAGGGGCAACUGGAAUUCUUGGUGUAGCGGUGAAAUGCGUAGAUAUCGAGAGGAACACCUGCGGCGAAGGCGGGUUGCUGGGCUGACACUGACGCUGAUGCGCGAAAGCUAGGGGAGCGAACGGG